ACUUCAGGCAUUGCCUUAGUAGCGGCGAGUGAAGCGGCAAAAGCUCAAAUUUGAAAUCUGGCGCCUUCGGUGUCCGAGUUGUAAUUUGAAGAUUGUAACCUUGGGGUUGGCUCUUGUCUAUGUUUCUUGGAACAGGACGUCACAGAGGGUGAGAAUCCCGUGCGAUGAGAUGCCCAAUUCUAUGUAAGGUGCUUUCCAAGACUCUAGUUGUUUGGGAAUGCAGCUCUUAGUGGGUGGUAAAUUCCAUCUUUUUCCUCUUUUUUGCAAAGACCCUGUUCGCCAACAAAUUCAGGGGUGGAAUUAAGAUUAGAUUUUUUUAACAACCUGAUAAAGUCGGUUUACUUGUUAAACGGGAAGGUUUUAAAACCCUUUCCUAUAAUUGGGCCCCUUCCCUUCAGGGAAUUCUCCCCCCCGGUGAAUCCUGGUCCCAUCAGUUUGGGCAGAACCAAACCCCAGGGUGAAUGUCUCUUUAUUUCAGUGAGAACCAUAAGGUGCCUAAUUGCAAAUUGGACCUUUGGCCGCUUCACUCCCCGCUACUGAGGCACUCCUGUUGUUUUCAUUCCCCCCGCUUAUAGAUAUGCACAAAAACAAUAAGCGAC
rnacentral:rRNA from 1 species